rnacentral:tRNA from 1 species
UGGGUGGUUCAGUGGUAGAAUUCUCGCCUGCCACGCGGGAGGCCCGGGUUCGAUUCCCGGCCCAUGCAGCACGCCCUCCCAUUUUGGUGCUGCAGCAGCACCAAGGCGUAGCUGCGCUCGCCUCUGCCGCCUCCUUACACUCGGGGCGCGCGAGCGAGUCCGGCACCGGCUGCGCUCCCACGCGCGACGGCCCUCUGCCCUUUCUUCCGUGCCUCUCUCGACUGACUUAGGGAUGAGCCUACCCCACGCACCCACACACCUUGGUGACAACAACCCCUCCAGACACGAGAGCGCGCCAGACACCAGAACUUGGCAGCCUCCUGGUCCUGUUUCUCUUCAUUGCCCUGCCACCGCCUCUGCCCGACGCAUUUCACUUCACGGAACACCGCCAGGCACCACGGGCUUGCAGCCACUCGCACCACCCCUUCUC